rnacentral:lncRNA from 7 species
UGGCGCAGCUCUUGUUUUCUUCACCUCCGAGCUCUCUGGAGGAGGCUUGGUGCUCUGCAUCUGAAGCUGUUCCAGCUCGCUUCCACAUCGGGGGUGGAAUAUUGCUGCCGAACCACUGCUCGGCCAGUUGUCUUGACAUGCCUCGACAUUAGGGAGAGAUGUUUCCUAACUCGUGUUGGAAGAGUUCCUGCAAAACAAAAGCUGUGGGAUACCUCGAGGCUUGCACCAACACACCUUCCUGCUGCUGGCUUUGUGCAACGCGCUUUCUUGUGUGGUCUGGCAAUGAAGGGCUCCUCGUAAAGCCAAAUCUUGGAGAUACUGAAGUUUUGUGGAUCGUUAUGAUUUUGAUCCCCAGAAGAAGGAAAGCACCAAAAGGGAUUUCUGGAAGUGCCACGUGAUUCCUUUCCUACUGAGCAAAGUAUUUUCUUAUUGUAGAAAUUGAAUGGAUUUGUUAAUUGCAUUUUGGGUUAUCCCGGGCUCUAGAUAGAUUGUCCUUUACUCAAGUCAAUGUAAAUAAACACAGCUCCUCUGAACCCCUGCCUAGGUAAGCCAGAUUGAGAGAAGCUCAUAUGAAUGGUAUUAUGGGCUGAUGGCUACCGCAGGGACAUAAGGUUAGAGCUGGGCUCCAUUCUAUGCAGAAAUGGGGACUGGUCUGUAAAAUGGAUCAAAUGGUUCCCAGCUCUCUAAAGCACUUUGGAAGCAAGUUGUGGUUUCGAAUGUGUUUGUAGCUCCCUGCGUAAGAAAAGUGUACAGAUAAGCUUUAGAAACUGAGGGAGUGUCUUGAGUGCUAAAAGAAGGUUUUUUAGUACAAAAAGUACUCAAGCUCAAAUU